AUUGAACGCUGGCGGCAUGCCUUACACAUGCAAGUCGAACGGCAGCACGGGAGCUUGCUCCUGGUGGCGAGUGGCGAACGGGUGAGUAAUACAUCGGAACGUACCCUGAAGUGGGGGAUAACGUAGCGAAAGUUACGCUAAUACCGCAUAUUCUGUGAGCAGGAAAGAGGGGGAUCGCAAGACCUCUUGCUUUAGGAGCGGCCGAUGUCGGAUUAGCUAGUUGGUGAGGUAAAGGCUCACCAAGGCGACGACCCGUAGCGGGUCUGAGAGGAUGAUCCGCCACACUGGGACUGAGACACGGCCCAGACUCCUACGGGAGGCAGCAGUGGGGAAUUUUGGACAAUGGGCGCAAGCCUGAUCCAGCCAUGCCGCGUGAGUGAAGAAGGCCUC
rnacentral:rRNA from 1 species